AACGAACGCUGGCGGCAUGCCUAACACAUGCAAGUCGAACGAGACCUUCGGGUCUAGUGGCGCACGGGUGCGUAACGCGUGGGAAUCUGCCCUUGGGUUCGGAAUAACAGUUAGAAAUGACUGCUAAUACCGGAUGAUGUCUUCGGACCAAAGAUUUAUCGCCCAGGGAUGAGCCCGCGUAGGAUUAGCUUGUUGGUGAGGUAAAGGCUCACCAAGGCGACGAUCCUUAGCUGGUCUGAGAGGAUGAUCAGCCACACUGGGACUGAGACACGGCCCAGACUCCUACGGGAGGCAGCAGUGGGGAAUAUUGGACAAUGGGCGAAAGCCUGAUCCAGCAAUGCCGCGUGAGUGAUGAAGGCCUUAGGGUUGUAAAGCUCUUUUACCCGGGAUGAUAAUGACAGUACCGGGAGAAUAAGCCCCGGCUAACUCCGUGCCAGCAGCCGCCGUAAUAC
rnacentral:rRNA from 1 species